UCAGAGCCCUGCAGAGAGCACAGGUUGCCGGGCAGCUGCAGCACAGCAUCAAGGCACCCACGGGCUGGCGAGACCCAGGCGGGCUGCGCCUGAGAAGCACAGGGUUCCACUUCCCAGACACGCUGCUUUCCAGCAGUGCUGUUUCUACUCUCAGGAAAGAAAAGAGGUUCAACUCAGGCUGCUCAGAAAGAAGGUGUUCCAGGAAGGGCAGAAAAGAGAGGCUGCUCUGGAAAAACAUAGAAGAGGUUGGCAGGGCGCAGAAUGCAGGAGAAGUCAGACCCUGGGAAUCCAAGAUGCCGCAACGCCAGGCAGCUGGUCCCCAGCAAGGCUGGCACGUGGAAACCUCGCGGAGAACAGUGAUUCAUAACCAAAGCAGAGCGCCCACAGCGACACUGGGCAGGCAUGGAACUAUUUUUCACAUGACACGUAUUUUAUUUUAAAAAAACAGUAAAUGACUUUCCUCUGCAUGGACUCUCUAUUUCUCUUGCCCUGGUUCUGGAGCUCUGUGGAGUGGUGGCCAAGAGCCAGUCCUGUCCCGUAUUUUUUUAUUGUCUUUCUGAGUUGGUCAGCAACUGAGGGAAUUGAGUAAAGUCACCCAGGUGGCUCCUGUCCGGUGCCUCGCUCCACCCCCUUCCAGCAGCCUCGUAGGUUACUUAACCGUGGAGCCUGGCAUUCUCCAGAUGCCCCUGCAGGGGGGAUUGCUUGGCUCUCUCCAGCACACAACCCAGUGGAACGCUCAGAGCAGAAGAAUUCUGUCAACUACCAGAUCGCGUUGUGAUUAACCCUUUCCUCCUGAGCCAGCCUGAGUGAAUACUGUGGGCUGUGACUGAGAACGGUGCCCCAUUUAAUCACUUUACUGUUUUUACGAUGGCCCCUCACAUGGGUGUGCUCUUUCCAGAGGAGGAAGUUGACGGGCUGACGGAGUUGCCUUUGCCGGACUCCUGGAGAGGAACGGUUCACCUUUUCAAGUUUCCUUAUGAAAGUCAUCAUUGUUUUCUGUCAACCUGAGCUGAGACCGUGACAGCACCAUGGGGCUGCUUCGGGAAGGUGUGGAGGGUCUCGGCCCCACCCACGUCCUGAGUCCUCCUCACCUCCCACCUUCCCCAGCCACGCCCUCCUGGAGCCACCAUCAGAAGCUGCCAGCCCAGGGCAGGAGCUUGUGGAUCAAACCCAGUUCAGGGCAGGUUCUGUGGGUAACUGGCCGCUGAGAGCAUCUAAAGAAUUAGGUUCCUGCUCCCAUAAUGACACCAUUCUCAGUUGCCAGCACCCCAAUGUGCUUUUCAGAGUGGGAGGGAAAGGGUGGACUUGGAGCCAGAGCCCCAGGGAGGUGUUUUGCACGUAAACUGGCACGCUGGGGAGGCAUGGAGAUGGGCAGCCCAGUCUGGCCCUGAUGCCCGAACCCAUCCCUCUUGUUCAAGGGCCUUUCCUCGUCACCUCCGGCCCGUCACACAGGCUGUGAGCACAUCUCUUCCUCCCCCCGGCCUUGGCUUAGUCCUUCUCUGCUGCUAAAACAAAAUGCCACACACUGGGUGCUUACACACAUCAGCAACGUUUGUUUCAGUCUAGAGCUGGGAGGUCCCAGGUGAAAGCACCAGCAGAUCUGGUGUCUGGUGAAGGCCCCAUUUCUCAUAGAUGGCACCUUCUUACUGUGUCCUCACGUGGUGGCACUGACAACCAUGUUCCCUCAGAGCUCUUUCAAAAGGGGACAAUCUCAUUCUUGAGGCUCCUCCUCCAUGGCCUAAUCACCUCCUGAUACCGUUACCUGAGGGGUGAGGACCUCACCCUGCGAACGCUGAGGGAACGCAAACCUUCAGCCCACAGUGUCUGGCCAGCGUCACCCUCUUCGGCUUCCCUUUGGUGGCUUGGCGCUUGGACUCACAAGUUCCCGUGACGAUAUCUUGCUCUCUGACUUCACCCUGACCAUGGCCAUCUGUCGUCCAUGAUGCUGCCAGCGCAGGAUGGAGCACGUCCUAGUCAAGUGUCUCCAGAGGACCCUUAGGUAUGGAUGGUGUGUGCAGCUCAGGGACCCCAGAAGGGAAGUGGGGAGUGAUUUGGGGGAGGGACAGUGACCCUCCAGGGGGAGUACUGUAAGCACAGAAGGCACAUGGGCGUUAAUCCUCUGGGGGAAGUUCUAGGGAAAAGAACUAUACUGGUGAGGGAGCUGGGGUAUUUGUACCCCCUGCCUGUUAGUCACUGGUCACGUGCUGCACUGAAACACAUUCAUUUAUUCUCCAUGAGCGCCUCAAAAGGCCCUGCUCUGUGUUAGGGGCACAAGCUCCCCUGUCCAGCCUGAGAUGGACCUGGUGUUCUCAGCCCACGUGCAGAGCCAGGAGGGUCAACAGGUCAACACACAGGACUGCAUCCCCCUCUGGCUCAGCUUCCCAACUUGGCUGAUGCCCCAGUGUGUGCAAGGGGGUCUUGCUCCAUCUUCCAGGGUACGGCUUGUGGUACCAGUGGGUGAGUGUGGGUCUCUGAAAAGUCCACUUUCACCACAAAGGGCCCUGAGUGGCUGCAGGCUCUGGGUUCAAUCCCAAGCUUCUCCAUCCCCAGUGGGACUGUCUUCUCACCACCAUGGCCAGGUGUGGUGACACCGCCCACCUCUUAGGGUUCUGGGAGGCUUGAGCUAUAUUUGUGUCAUGUGUAAAGUGAUAUAAUGUACACACAUUAUUAUUUUUGUUAUUACUUUGAAUUCUGAGCUGCCUGCCCUUUGAAAAUUCAGCAAGAAGCGGCCUGUGGUUGUCAGCUUCCAAUAUGGCCCCCAUCCCUCCAUCCCUGAGUGGCUCACAGGGACGAUCUGGUGACUGAGGGUGAUGGGACGUCACUUCUAUGACUACAUUGCAGAAGACACCUCUCGGAUGCCCUCUCACCUUCCUGCCUCCCUUAUGCUCGGGAAAGACAAUUGCCAAGGAGAAGACCACAGAGGUCCUUCUGCACCAGCUGCCAUUUUCCAGCAUGCCCCCUCCUCAACCUUCUGCACCUUUGCUGGUCCCAGAGCUGAGAUGCUGGUCUCUGUCUGACGGCCUUCCAUGCCCCCUCUGAGCCCACUCCCUUCACCCAAGGAGAACUUCCAGGAGCCCCAGGCAGAGUUAGCAGCCUUGGCCUCUGAGAUCCAACAGCACAUUGUGCAGACUCAGCGGUACCAGGUCUUCCGUGGAGAAGACGGCACGUGAGUGUACUUUACAUGGGCUCUUGUUACCCCUGGCUCCUGGUGUUUGUGUCUGUUCAGUCUUCAGGGAAGCAGAUUCUUCCACAGUCGAGGCUCAGAUGAGACCAUAGCCCUGGCUGACAUUUUGAUUGGAACCUUGUGAGAUGCAAAGCUAAGCUGUGACCCCGACCCACAGAAUGUUGAGACCCUGAUGCCCGCAAGUCCAAGUGGGUGAGACCCAGAGGCUGAUGGAACGCGGCUCUGUCCUCCUGUGGUUCCCAGGGGUGUCCCGUGCCCUCCUCCUGGAAAUCAGAUGCCCAGAAAACUGACUGGAGGAGCCACUGGCCACUGAAUGAGGCAAGGACAUUCUUUAGGCAGUGUAAGUAACUGAAUUGCCUGUGAAUGUUAGAGACAAGCUUAUGUAAAAAGUUGGUACGAGAGCUGUAAUGAAAAUGAUUACAAGGUAUAACAAGAAGACAAAAGUCACAGAGCCAGAAAUUAAGGACACUAAACAGAGAAACAAAGAGCAAAGCAUCGGACUGCAAAUGGCAGGGUUCGGAGCCGCUGUGUAAACAGUGUCGAGCCUCGGGAAAAGCCCCGGGCUGCCUGCUGGGAAAGCUUAUUGCUAGAAUGUGCUUAGCCCAGUGGAAACAGAAACAUUCUCCACAUUGAUCCAGGGUGGGAAAGCCAACUGAGGAGCUGUGUCUCUGCCUGACAUGCUGGCCCGGCCACUCAAAGUCACCCAAAACGUGAGCAGGAGGCUCGGGCAGGUCACACUGCCUAUCUGUGCCAUCAGAACACACGGCCUGCAGGCACCAGGGAAGCGGAGGUGACAGAGCCGUCUCCUUGCUGUCCUUAUCGGUGCAAUGGAGAUCCCCCGCUGUGUCCAGUCUCCCACCCAGACUCCCCUACGGAAAGACCCUCCAUCUUCCACCAAAUGCAAACCCAGCCCAGCACCUGGAGGAGACCUGCCCUGGGAAUCCCAGGUUCUGGCUCCGAGUCUAAGCACUGUGCUGUGUGAGCUUGGCUAGGUCACUGUGCCACUGUGGGCCUUGGCUUCCUUAUCAGCAAGACUGAGGGGUUAAGUUCCAUCAGUUUAUUCAACGUGGAGCCUGGAACCUGAGGAUAUCAUCUGCUCUGAGGCUCCCCCCUGGGGGAUUUUGACUUCCAACUCCUGACCUCGAUGGUGUGACAGCAACUUCGGCCCUGGAUCCACUCUGAAGGAAGCACAUUUUUCUCUCUCCCCUCAAAUUAUAGGCCUUACCAUACCUCCCGAGUCACAUUACAGAAGUUUCCCCUCAGCACAGCCAUCUGACAUUUUACAUUUAGUCAUUAGAAAUACAUCGUGCAUGAGGUUCACUCUGACCUCCUGAUCCUCUUCCACUCUCCUAGUGUCCAGUGGGUUAGGAAAGGUGCACAGCCAUGAGGAGCACGAGGCCAUGGGACUCCGUGACUUGGUCUGAGUAAGGCAAUGCCUGGACUGUAACUCAGGACCUGCUACCAGAGGACUGGUGACCCAGCCCUGCCCUGCCCCUUGCAAGUCCAACCUGAGAACUAAAAAUAAAAUCCUAAGCACCCCAACCACAGAAAAGACCCUCAGCUUGGCCAAGGGGACCCCAGGAAAACCUUGACAUUGAGUUCCCAGCCAUGAUGCGCCUCUUUAUGCCCGCUUCCUUCUGUGGUUUAGACACAACAGCUGACCAGCGUUAGUGUUAAAAUAGAGACAGUAGGACCGCUGGAUGGGCCGGGCGCGGUGGCUCACACCUGUAAUCCCAGCACUUUGGGAGGCCAAGGCAGGCGGAUCCCCUGAGGUCAGGAGUUCAAGAUCAGCCUGACCAACACGGCAAAACCCUGCCUCUACUAAAAAUACAAACUUUAGCCAGGCAUGGUGGUGGGUGCCUGUUGCCCCAGAUACUCAGGAGGUUGAGGCAGGAGAACGGUUUGAACCCAGGAGGCAGAGGUUCCGGUGAGCUGAGAUUGUGCCACUGCACUGCAGCCGGGUGAUCGAGUGAGACCCCAUCUUAGAAAAGAAGGCUGGUGGAUGGACUGUUUGUGUCAAGAUAUCAAA